rnacentral:rRNA from 1 species
AUGUUCGGCGGCGCGGCCAGGGUGUGCCGCUCCUGGCACGACGCCGUGUGCGAGCCCGAGCUGUGGCGCCGCGUCGACAUGCGCGGCCGCUCCCGGCGCUUCCGGGAGACGGUCAGCCUCAACAAGGUGACGCAGCUCUCCAUUCGGUUCAGCGCCGGGCAGUGCCGAGAAUUCUUCGGCCAGCAGGACCUCGACAACGACCUCCUCCUCUUCCUGGCCGACCGGGCACCCUUACUGAAGAGCCUUCAUCUUACCAAGCAUUGUGAUGUAACCAGUAAAGCAUUGGCAGAGGCAAUGAAGAAAUUCCCUCUGUUGGAGGAGCUCGAGCUUUGUGAAUGUGAGAGAUAUGACACGUGCGUCUUUGAGCUUGUUGCAACGGCUUGUCCACUACUGAAGCACUUCAAACAUGUCAACGAUCGAGCAUAUUCGUGGUAUUAUUGGGAACGGGAUCUAUACCCCGUCGACAACCGCGAAGCCUUGGCAAUUGCAAGGAUGCAUGAGCUACGGUCCCUGAAGAUUUUCCACAGUGGCCUCGACAACCAAGGGUUGACAGCCAUCCUUGACGGCUGCCCUCACCUGGAGUCCCUUGACAUACGCUACUGCAGCAACAUCAUCAUGGACAGCAGCAUGCGAGCAAAGUGUGCCCGUGUUAAGACGAAGAAGGUGUAUCCAUAUGCGCCAACUGAUGACUGGGUGCGUCCUCGGUCUGGCAUCCAUGAUGACUCCAUCGAUGAUUCUUCCAAGUAUUUCGAGCCUGGCAGCCCUGUUAGUAGAUGUCAUUCUCCACGGGAUAGUUAUUGGUGGUUUCGCAGCAAUGGUGAGGAGCCCGACUGUCGGUUUUUCAAUGUGGAGCCUUGUGACUCCGAGGACUCUGAUCAUUCUCGCUUCUUUAGUGGUGCCGAGGAGACCGAGUUUGAGUACUGGAGGAUCUGA